rnacentral:ncRNA from 1 species
UUUCGGGGCGGAGUGAAAUUCUCCACCGGCGGUUACAGCCCGUGAGCCUUUUUUCAGGUUGAUUUGGUGAAAUUCCAAAGCCGACAGUAAGAGUCUGGAUGAGAGAAA